rnacentral:rRNA from 1 species
CCUACGGGAGGCAGCAGUGGGGAAUAUUGGGCAAUGGGCGCAAGCCUGACCCAGCAACGCCGCGUGAAGGAAGAAGGCUUUCGGGUUGUAAACUUCUUUUGUCAGGGAAGAGUAGAAGACGGUACCUGACGAAUAAGCCACGGCUAACUACGUGCCAGCAGCCGCGGUAAUACGUAGGUGGCAAGCGCUGUCCGGAUUUACUGGGUGUAAAGGGCGUGUAGGCGGGUUGACAAGUCAGUUGUGAAAUCCUGCGGCUUAACCGCAGAACUGCAUUUGAAACUGUUGAUCUUGAGUACUGGAGAGGCAGAUGGAAUGCCUAGUGUAGCGGUGAAAUGCGUAGAUAUUAGGAGGAACACCAGUGGCGAAGGCGGUCUGCUGGACAGCAACUGACGGUGAGGCGCGAAAGCGUGGGGAGCAAACAGGAUUAGAUACCCUUGUAGUC